rnacentral:hammerhead_ribozyme from 1 species
AUCCAGAUAACCAAUCCCAAAUAGGACGAGACGCGCGUUCUGGAU